rnacentral:circRNA from 1 species
GGGAGGUAACUCCAGGACUAUCUCAGGUGGAAUAUGCACUUCGCAGACACAAACUAAUGUCUCUGAUCCAGAAGGAAGCUCAAGGGCAGAGUGGGACAGACCAGACAGUGGUUGUGCUCUCCAACCCUACAUACUACAUGAGCAACGAUAUUCCCUAUACUUUCCACCAAGACAACAAUUUCCUGUACCUAUGUGGAUUCCAAGAGCCUGAUAGCAUUCUUGUCCUUCAGAGCCUCCCUGGCAAACAAUUACCAUCACACAAAGCCAUACUUUUUGUGCCUCGGCGAGAUCCCAGUCGAGAACUUUGGGAUGGUCCGCGAUCUGGCACUGAUGGAGCAAUAGCUCUAACUGGAGUAGACGAAGCCUAUACGCUAGAAGAAUUUCAACAUCUUCUACCAAAAAUGAAAGCUGAGACGAACAUGGUUUGGUAUGACUGGAUGAGGCCCUCACAUGCACAGCUUCACUCUGACUAUAUGCAGCCCCUGACUGAGGCCAAAGCCAAGAGCAAGAACAAGGUUCGGGGUGUUCAGCAGCUGAUACAGCGCCUCCGGCUGAUCAAGUCUCCUGCAGAAAUUGAACGAAUGCAGAUUGCUGGGAAGCUGACAUCACAG